UACGUAGGCAGCAAGCGUUGUUCGGAGUUACUGGGCGUAAAGAGUGUGUAGGCGGUUUGCUAAGUUCGGUGUGAAAUCUCCCGGCUUAACUGGGAGGGUGCGCCGAAGACUGGCAGGCUAGAGUACGGGAGAGGGAAGCGGAAUUCCUGGUGUAGCGGUGAAAUGCGUAGAUAUCAGGAGGAACACCGGUGGUGUAGACGGCUUCCUGGACCGUAACUGACGAUGAGACACGAAAGCGUGGGGAGCAAACAGG
rnacentral:rRNA from 1 species